UAAACUAGGAUUAGAUACCCUAUUAUAAUAUAUUUAAAAUUUUUAACCUGGGUAAUAAUAGUUAUGUUCUUUAAACCUAAAGAAUUUGGCGGUGUUUUAUUCUAUUCAGAGGAAUUUGCCCCGUUAUCGAUAAUCCUCGUUUUAUCUUACUUAUUUUUGUUUAUCAGUAUGUAUACCGCCGUUAUAAGUUUAUUUUAUUAGAAUGAAAAUUUACUUAUUUCUUAUUUUUGAAUUAUUUCA
rnacentral:rRNA from 1 species